AGANGGGGUUACAAGAUCUGCUAACUCUUCAAUCUGGGAUUAAUUA
rnacentral:tRNA from 1 species